rnacentral:miRNA from 1 species
ACCCAUUCAUUCCCCGCACA